AUACGUAGGGGGCAAGCGUUGUCCGGAAUCAUUGGGCGUAAAGGGCGCGUAGGCGGAUCAUUAAGUCUGGUGUGAAAACUUGGGGCUCAACCCCAAGCCUGCAUCGGAAACUGAUAAUCUUGAGGGCAGGAGAGGAAAGUGGAAUUCCACGUGUAGCGGUGAAAUGCGUAGAGAUGUGGAGGAACACCAGUGGCGAAGGCGACUUUCUGGACUGUAACUGACGCUGAGGCGCGAAAGCGUGGGGAGCGAACAGGAUUAGAUACCCUGGUAGUCCACGCCGUAAACGAUGAGUGCUAGGUGUAGAGGGUAUCGACCCCUUCUGUGCCGCAGUUAACACAAUAAGCACUCCGCCUGGGGAGUACGGCCGCAAGGUUGAA
rnacentral:rRNA from 1 species